CAAUAGCGUAUAUUAAAGUUGUUGCAGUUAAAAAGCUCGUAGUUGGAUUUCUGGUUGAAGCGACCGGUCGGGCGUUGAUUCGUCUGCACUGGAGUCGGUUUUGGCCAUCCUCUAGGAAAGUGCGUCUGGUAUUAAGUUAUCGGGCGUAUGAUCCUGGUCUUUUACUGUGAAAAAAUUAGAGUGUUUAAAGCAGGCCUCCGCCUUGAAUACAUUAGCAUGGAAUAAUAAGAUAGGACUUUGGUCUAUUUUGUUGGUUUGCAGACCGAAGUAAUGAUUAAUAGGGAUAGUUGGGGGUAUUUAUAUUCCGAUGUCAGAGGUGAAAUUCUUAGAUUUUCGGAAGAUAAACUUAUGCGAAAGCAUUUACCAAGGAUGUUUUCAUUAA
rnacentral:rRNA from 1 species